GUCUAUGGCUAUGCCACCCUGAACAAGCCAGAUCCUGUCUGAUCUCAGAAGCUAGGCACAGUCAGGCCUGGUUAGUACUUGCAUGGGAGACUGUCUAGGAAGACCAGGUGCUGUAGGCA
rnacentral:rRNA from 1 species